rnacentral:ncRNA from 1 species
ACAGUACAGACUGAGCAGGCGAUGAACCUUUUCCGAAAGGUCAUGGGGCCGGGCCGCAUUGCGGCAGCAGGUUGCAAUAUGCACAUCUGCGGGACAG